rnacentral:rRNA from 1 species
GUGGAAACGCAGGGAGAGCGUCUCGGAUCAUUGACAACUAAAUAGGAGCAGCAACGUCCAAUUAAAGGGCCCUGAUCACGAAACACAGUAAUAAAAUGAAUCUGGAGAGUUUGAUCCUGGCUCAGAACGAACGCUGGCGGCGUGCCUAACACAUGCAAGUCCAACGUGAAAGGGGAGCAAUCCCCCGGUAGGGUGGCAAACGGGUGAGUAAUACAUGGGUGAUCUACCUUAGGGAUGGGGAUAUCCUUCCGAAAGGAGGGGCAAUACCGAAUAUUGUCCGGAGCCGUGAAGGGUUCCGGGGAAAGGGAGGCCUCUGAUACAAGCUUUCGCCUUAAGAUGAGCCCAUGGCCCAUCAGCUAGUUGGUAGGGUAAAGGCCUACCAAGGCUACGACGGGUCGCUGGUCUGAGAGGACGACC